GAGAGUUAAAUAGUACGUGAAAUUGUUGAAAGGGAAACGAUUGAAGUCAGUCAUGUUAGUGAAAAAUCAGUUUGACGGGUUUUGAGUUCGGGAGUAGAGGCAGUGUCAAACCGUUUCUCUUUUGAACUUGGGAUUUGUUAGAUGUACUUUUUCUUUGGCAGGUCAGCGUCGAUUUCGGAGGUUGUAAAAUACUUGGGGAAAAGUAGCUCUGCUUCGGGAGAGUAUUAUAGACCCUGGGGGAUGCAGCCUGCGGGAUCGAGGAUUGCAGCAAAUGCCUUUGGCUUGUCGCCUGAUCUCUGGAUGUUACCUCGCUUGUGACAACAUUCUUGCCACCUGUGGGUACUAAUGCCCAUUAGGUUAGAGCGAUCAAAAAUUUUGCUAAGGAUGCUGACGUAAUGGCUUUAAACGA
rnacentral:rRNA from 1 species